rnacentral:ncRNA from 1 species
UUAAAUCGCUCCUUGUUGCGAUUUUGCUACGUAAUAACGGAAAUAAUUUUCUCGAUGCGUUGCUUACGACGACCACAAAAUUAGUUUUAUUCCUGACUUUUCAACACUCGUUCAAAUUUGUUAAAAAGGGUUUUCCUUGGCGCGUAUCGCCUAUGCAUGCGUUUCCCGGCAACCCGAUGUUGGCCGUUAUUUGCCCGCCUCUCAUAACACUGUCUUAUCCCCCGGCGGUGCGCAUGAUCAACUGACUCACAUCAAUACUUUCUUAUCCCCCGCCGGCGCGCGAAACCAUUAGCAUCGUGCCCUUCAACGGGUGCCUUCAAGUAUGGAGCCCGACCGUUCUCGUUUACCUUGAACAAAUUAGAGUGCUUCAAGCAGGCUCAUGAAUAUAUGGCCGAGAAUAAUCUUGCAUGGAAUAAUGGAAUAUGACCUUGGUCUACAAUUUCAUUGGUUUGUAUACAGACUCAGAGGUAAUGGUUAACAGGAGUGGUUGGGGGCAUUAGUAUUACGGCGCGAGAGGUGAAAUUCGUAGACCGUCGUAAGACUAACUGAAGCGAAAGCGUUUGCCAUGGACACUUUCAUUAAUCAAGAACGAAAGUUAGAGUAUCGAAGGCGAUUAGAUACCGCCCUAGUUCUAACCGUAAACGAUGCCAGCUAGCAAUUGGGAGACGCUACAACCUUGGUGCUCUCAGUAGCUUCCGGGAAACCAAAGCUAGGUU